CUUAUUAUAAAAUUAAUAGGUGGGACCUGGUCAGUGUUAAAUAAUAAGUAAAUUUUAGCAAAUAUAUGAAAUAUUUAAUAAACACACGCCUUAGCCUGAGGGUGAAAAUGUAGCAUAAUCAUUUGGCAUAUAAUUGAUGUCUAGUAUGAAUGGUGACACGACCUAUACACUGUCUCUGCUUUAAGAUUAAUGAAUUUAGAUUUAUAGUGAAAAUACUGUAUAAAAAAUAUAAGACGAAAAGUCCCUAUAAACUUUUACUAUCUAAUAAAAUAAAAUCUUAUAAAAAUAGUUUGACUGGGGCGGUCGUCUCUUAUAAAAACAGUGAUUAUUAUAUUAAUUAAAAAAAAUAUUUUCUAUCUCUUUAUUACUAAACAUAUAUGUUUAUUAAUGUUAAAAAAUUAAAAUAUUGACCUCUUCUUUUUAUAACACAUUAAGAAACUUUAAAAAAUAAAAAGUACUUUAGGGAUAACAGCGUAAUUCUAUCUGGAGCCCUUAUUCAAGCAUAGUGUUUGCGACCUCGAUGUUGGCUUGAGAUAUCCCGAAGGUGCAGAAGUUUUCGACGGUAGGUCUGUUCGCCCUUUAAAAUCUUACAUGAUUUGAGUUCAUUCCG
rnacentral:rRNA from 1 species